rnacentral:rRNA from 1 species
UGUUCCUACGGGAGGCAGCAGUGGGGAAUAUUGCACAAUGGGGGAAACCCUGAUGCAGCGACGCCGCGUGAGUGAAGAAGUAUUUCGGUAUGUAAAGCUCUAUCAGCAGGGAAGAAAAUGACGGUACCUGACUAAGAAGCCCUGGCUAACUACGUGCCAGCAGCCGCGGUAAUACGUAGGGGGCAAGCGUUAUCCGGAUUCACUGGGUGUAAAGGGAGCGUAGACGGCCAUGCAAGCCUGGAGUGAAAGCCCGGGGCCCAACCCCGGGACUGCUCUGGGAACUGUGCGGCUGGAGUGCGGGAGGG